UACGUAGGGACCAAGCGUUGUUCGGAUUUACUGGGCGUAAAGGGCGCGUAGGCGGCAAUUCAAGUCAGCUGUGAAAUCUCCGGGCUUAACUCGGAACGGUCAGCUGAUACUGCUUUGCUAGAGUGCAGAAGGGGCAAUCGGAAUUCUUGGUGUAGCGGUGAAAUGCGUAGAUAUCAAGAGGAACACCUGAGGUGAAGACGGGUUGCUGGGCUGACACUGACGCUGAUGCGCGAAAGCCAGGGGAGCGAACGGG
rnacentral:rRNA from 1 species